ACUCAAAGGAAUAGACGGGGGUCCGCACAAGCGGUGGAACAUGUGGUUUAAUUCGACACUACGCGAGAAACCUUACCUGGGCUUGACAUGUAACUGCUACCGAUAGAAACAUUGGGUUCUGUAGCAAUACAGACGGUUACACAGGUGCUGCAUGGCUGUCGUCAGCUCGUGUCGUGAGACGUCGGGUUAAGUCCUUGAACGAGCGCAACCCUUGCCGUUAGUUGCAAGUCCGAAAGGAAUGCACUCUAGCGGGACUGCCUAGGAAACUAGGAGGAAGGUGGGGAUGACGUCAAGUCCUCAUGGCCCUUAUGCCCAGGGCUACACACGUGUUACAAUGGCGAAGAACAAAAGGGAGCAAAACCGCGAGGUCGAGCAAAUCCGAUAAAAUUCGUCUAAGUUCAGAUUGAAGUCUGCAACUCGACUUCAUGAAGCUGAAAUCGCUAGUAAUCGUAUAUCAGAAUGAUACGGUGAAUACGUUCUCGGACCUUGUACACACCGCCCGU
rnacentral:rRNA from 1 species